rnacentral:pre_miRNA from 1 species
AUAAAAGGGGAUGUAUCUAGAUGUAUUUUAGUUCUAGAUACACCCCUUUUUAUCCAUUUUGAUAACAAGUAUUUCCGGACGGAGGGAGUACAUA